GUAACGAUAAAUAAACUCCGGGCAAAACAAUGUCGCCGCUAUAUGCAACCGUCGACUAAAGACGAAUUUGAUUUUUCUGACUCUCCUCCGACCAGCAUAAAUAAACGGAUACGAUCGCGAGCGAAUCAGUUAUUAACAAUUAUUAACGGAGUUAUACGAGUUAUACAAGUUAUCGAGUUAUCUGCGAGGGAUCAUACAUUGUCUUUGCGAAUACGUUUCUAUGAGCGUCUCUCGACAGAAAUCCGCGCGAACAUCAGACCGCUUCUGGGGAAAGCGGUAUGGUAGUGCCGGACUCCAACCGACUAAAACCUCCACGAUGACCGUCCCGGGUGUGAUGGAGAGAGGGCCGAGAGAGACCCACAACGCCUCCCCCCCGCGUAUAAUAAUGCAGCGAUGUGAGGCCAUGUCACACCGCGCCUUGUCGCCGGGUCUGCCGUGCAAGGCAGUUUGUAAGGACGGUCUCGAGGACCCUUAGCCCCGGCGCGACCGCUCUCAUGUCGAGGCUGACGCGCCAUCUGUCGAGUAAGUCCCGCUGAGCCCGAACCUUAACGUCGGCGUCCACCGGGCCGACCUCGCCCGAUAGACCCCGAGUGUGGAGAUAAAUCUCGCGACACCUCAGGGCCUGCAAUUCGGACGGGGGAAACCCGGCGAUCACCGCCGCUGCUGCUGCCGAAAUGGUACGGAAGCCACUACCCUGAUGGCCUCCUGUGCGGCCUCCUGACCUUUAGGAAACUGCGACGGCUGGCCAUCAGGUCCUCCGCCCAGAUCGGAGCUUCGUAGAGGAGCCUCGAUCGCAUCACGCCGGCGUACAGCCGGCGCAUUUCGAUGCCACUCCCGCCCAGCCGAGGCAGGAAACGUCCUAAGGCGUUCGCCGUCUGUAUUCUGUCGUAUGCAGACGGUGCCAGGCGCUCAAAGUGAGAGUCGAAGGUCCAGUAGCUGUCGAAGGUCAGGCCCAGAUACUUCAUGCUGGUUCCGACUCCGAUCUCAGUCCCCUC
rnacentral:misc_RNA from 1 species